rnacentral:tRNA from 1 species
GCCUCUAUGGCUCAGCUGGCAGAGCGUCCGCCUAGUAAGCGGAAGGUCUCCAGUUCGAUUCUGGAUGGAGGCA